rnacentral:rRNA from 1 species
UACGGAGGGUGCAAGCGUUAUCCGGAUUUACUGGGUUUAAAGGGUGCGUAGGUGGAUAAUUAAGUCAGUGGUGAAAUCUUCAGGCUUAACCUGGAAACUGCCAUUGAUACUAUUUAUCUUGAAUACUUUGGAGGUAAGCGGAAUAUGUCAUGUAGCGGUGAAAUGCUUAGAUAUGACAUAGAACACCAAUUGCGAAGGCAGCUUACUACACAGUAAUUGACACUGAGGCACGAAAGUGUGGGGAUCAAACAGG